CCUCCCCGGGUGGAGCUCUCCCAGCCAGCUGGAGAGAGAGAGAGAGCGCCAGCCUGUGGAAGCAGCUCCCCGAAGGGUCACAGAGGGGCAUCUAGAGGAGGAGCCUCAGCCUCCCAUAUGCUUUGGGGGAGGAGAAGAAGCAGAUGAGAGCUGACCAGGCCCCUGUCGCGGCUUCUCAAGUUCCCGCCGCUCCUGCCGCUCCCCCAGGACAGUCCCCGCCGAAAUGGAGCACCCCGCACGCCCGGCUUCGGCGGGGGGACCAGGACGCUCGGCCGCAUUUGAAGGGACUUAGCCCACGCACCAGAGAGGUACAGUGCCACAACGCAGCAAAGUGGGUGGCCCCAUCCUGGCAAAUACCUAAGGCUCCACCCCUUACAACAUAACAAGUGUGCUGAGAUAAAGAAAUAUGGCCCAAAUGAAAGAAAAGAUCAAAACUGCAGGAAAGUAUCUCAAGUCGUGAAAUCCAAACACCUACAUCCAAGAUUGCUCUAACCAGCAAAGCUUUCAUUUAGAAUGGAAGGGCAGAUAAAGUGCUUCUCAGAUCAGAUCAAAUUCAAGGAGUUCAUCACCACCAAGCCCUUAUUAUAUGAAAUAUUAAAGGGACUUAUCUAAGAAAAAGAAGAUAAAAAUAUAAACAGUGAAAGGAUAGCAAACUCACGGUUAUUAACAAGCACACCUAAAACAAAAGCAAACUAAGAGGACAGCUAGAUCAGGAGUGGAACCAUAGAGAUGGAGAUCACAUGGAGGGUUAGCAACAGGGAAGUGGGAGGAGGAGAAGGGGGGAGAAGGUA